rnacentral:rRNA from 1 species
GAUGAACGCUGGCGGCGUGCCUAAUACAUGCAAGUCGAGCGAACAGACGAGGAGCUUGCUCCUCUGACGUUAGCGGCGGACGGGUGAGUAACACGUGGAUAACCUACCUAUAAGACUGGGAUAACUUCGGGAAACCGGAGCUAAUACCGGAUAACAUGUUGAACCGCAUGGUUCAACAGUGAAAGACGGUUUUGCUGUCACUUAUAGAUGGAUCCGCGUCGCAUUAGCUAGUUGGUAAGGUAACGGCUUACCAAGGCAACGAUGCGUAGCCGACCUGAGAGGGUGAUCGGCCACACUGGAACUGAGACACGGUCCAGACUCCUACGGGAGGCAGCAGUAGGGAAUCUUCCGCAAUGGGCGAAAGCCUGACGGAGCAACGCCGCGUGAGUGAAGAAGGUCUUCGGAUCGUAAAACUCUGUUAUUAGGGAAGAACAAAUGUGUAAGUAACUAUGCACGUCUUGACGGUACCUAAUCAGAAAGCUACGGCUAACUACGUG